AACGAACGCUGGCGGCAUGCCUAACACAUGCAAGUCGAACGAGACCUUCGGGUCUAGUGGCGCAUGGGUUCGUAACGCGUGGGAACCUGCCCUUAUGUUUGGAAUAACUCUCCGACAGGGGUGCUAAUACCGGAUAAUGUCUUCGGACCAAAGAUUUAUUGCCCUUGGUUGGGCCCGCGUUGGAUUCGCUAGUUGUUAGGGUAAGAGCCUACCAAGGCGUGGAUGCAUAGCUGGGAUGAGAGGAAGGUCAGCCACACUGAGACUGAGACGCGGCCCGGACUCCUACGGGAGGCGGGAGUGGGGAAUAGUGCAACGUGGGCGAAAGGAUGAUGCAGCAAGGACGGGAGAGUGAUGAAGGCAUUAGGGUAGUAAAGCUCUUUUAACCGGGAUGAUAAUGACGGUACCGGGAGAAUAAGCCACGGCUAACUCCGUG
rnacentral:rRNA from 1 species